rnacentral:lncRNA from 1 species
GUGCAGGUGCAGACGCGGGAGAUGGGGGCUUCCUGGCGGGUAACGUUAGAAUGUGGUGACAGCGGAUAAAAACGGAACACAAUAAGUUUACCACUGCAUUAUAAUGCAAAGUAGAAGGGAGACUUUCACUUGCUGAACGACAUGAGGUUGAUUAAAUCUGUGCAAGGCGCCUCAUAAAGCCACUUGGCAUAUCCGAAACCGAAUGAAAUGAUAAGCAGCCGGAGUGCAACAGAUUACCAGUCAGAAACUCCUGCUGGAAUUCCGGACCCUUUACCAUGAGCACCUUCGACACAUUGACCAAUCAGAUGACAGCCAGGAGGAGGCUCUUCAGAGCAAGGUGGGCAUGCUGCAGUUGUUUGUGCGGGACCUGAGUGAGCAGAAUGAGGUUCUGAUCCAGGCGCUGGAGGCUGAGGAGGCGGAGGACCGGGUGGUGGAGGGGAGAACAGUCAGCCUUCACAAAGAGCUGGAGGUGGAGGAGCGUGAAGCCCAGGUCCAGGAGCUGCAGGACACCAUCACAGAGCUGCACCAGGAGAUGACCAGGAAGGACCAGGACACGCUGACACAGCUGCAGGACACCAUCACAGAGCUGCACCAGGAGAUGACCAGGAAGUACCAGGACACGCUGACACAGCUGCAGGACACCAUCACAGAGCUGCACCAAGAGAUGACCAGGAAGGACCAGGACACGCUGACACAGCUGCAGGACACCAUCACAGAGCUGCACCAGGAGAUGACCAGGAAGUACCAGGACACGCUGACACAGCUGCAGGACACCAUCACAGAGCUGCACCAGGAGAUGACCAGGAAGGACCAGGACACGCUGACACAGCUGCAGGACACCAUCACAGAGCUGCACCAGGAGAUGACCAGGAAGUACCAGGACACGCUGACACAGCUGCAGGACACCAUCACAGAGCUGCACCAGGAGAUGACCAGGAAGGACCAGGACACGCUGACACAGCUGCAGGACACCAUCACAGAGCUGCACCAGGAGAUGACCAGGAAGUACCAGGACACGCUGACACAGCUGCAGGACACCAUCACAGAGCUGCACCAGGAGAUGACCAGGAAGGACCAGGACACGCUGACACAGCUGCAGGACACCAUCACAGAGCUGCACCAGGAGAUGACCAGGAAGUACCAGGACACGCUGACACAGCUGCAGGACACCAUCACAGAGCUGCACCAGGAGAUGACCAGGAAGGACCAGGACACGCUGACACAGCUGCAGGACACCAUCACAGAGCUGCACCAGGAGAUGACCAGGAAGUACCAGGACACGCUGACACAGCUGCAGGACACCAUCACAGAGCUGCACCAGGAGAAGGACCAGGACACGCUGACACAGCUGCAGGACACCAUCACAGAGCUGCACCAGGAGAUGACCAGGAAGUACCAGGACACGCUGACACAGCUGCAGGACACCAUCACAGAGCUGCACCAGGAGAUGACCAGGAAGUACCAGGACACGCUGACACAGCUGCAGGACACCAUCACAGAGCUGCACCAGGAGAUGACCAGGAAGGACCAGGACACGCUGACACAGCUGCAGGACACCAUCACAGAGCUGCACCAGGAGAUGACCAGGAAGGACCAGGACACGCUGACACAGCUGCAGGAGCUCCACCAGCUGGAGAGCAGGGUGAAGCAGCUCACUGACCAGGUCAGGAGCUCCGAGGAGACCAUAGGCCAGCUGAGACAGGAGGUGGCUGUUAGAGUGGGCAUCAGCAGCGCUACCCUGUCUGGGGACGUGAGCACAGCAGGGAAAGGGAGUACUACUGACUCGACAGGAUCCAGUCCAGUCCCACACCUUACAGAACAGAGGGGCAGAGAACUGCUGAAGACUGAGUUAUCACGUUGGGACGCAACCAUCCAGAGGCUCCAGCGAGAUGUGCUGCUCUCCCACCAGGCCCGCGACUCCCAGUCUGCUCAGCUGGAUGUCCAUGGGCAGAGGAUCUCUCAGCUGCAGACGGAGCUACAGGAGAGACAACUGGAGCUCCAGAGGGGACACAGCCGAAGAGAGCAGCAGCAGAGGGACCUGCAGACCCAGACACAGCAGGCAGAGGAGCUCCACACUCAGCUGGCUGAGGUCAAAGGGCGUCUUGUGCAGGUGGAGGGAGAAAAUGUGGCACUCAUGGGAUAUAAGCUGGAGCUGAGAGCCGAGGUGGAAAGGCUGGCAGCGGUGGUGUAUUCUCUGCAGAGCUCUGUCAGGGUCAGAGGGCACAGAGAGUGCCCAGGCCUAGCGGAGGUAUGUGGACCUGGAGGGGGAGCUGACAGAGACCCGUGCCCAGCUCACGGAGUGCCAGGACAGGCUACAGGAAGCCAGGAGGAGGGCUAA